CUACCCAGUAUUGGUUGUUUCUUUUUUCUGAAAAGAUGUUUCUAGUGAAUUGCCAAGUUGCAGUGGUUUUGACGCCACAGAACCAGCACAGCUCCAUGACAGAUAUAUAUGUUUUCGUCAUUGAUGUCAGUACUGCUGUAUUGGUGGCCUCACAAUUUCUGUGUGGAAAUGUCAUCUGAUACACUCAUAACGGCGUAUUUCUAGCAUAGCUUUCAUAAGUGCAUGGCCAUUCUCUGUCAUUUUCAGAUACACUGUGUUGUGUGUGGAUAAGAAAUGCAGAGUGGUACCACCAAUCACCUAAGCCACCAUUCCCCUAACAGACAAAAGGCUCAUGGGGACAGUUCCUGCAGUUUACAGCAAAUUGUAGCCCUACAAACUUCAGAUACUGCCAAGCUUGGGUGCACUGGGCCGGUUAUCCAGCCGUGUGGAAUCAACAUCUCCAGCUGAACUUGGGCCGGGAAUUAUAUAAGAAUCCUUAGCAGCAUGAGUGCCAGCCAGUCAUUGCUGUUCUUUGCAUUGCUGAGGAGGACAGUCCUGCCAACAUAACAGUUUGUUCAAUAACAGGAGACAAACAGAAACACAGAGGUGCUAUACAUUCCGAUGGAAAAUACAACAAAAGCAUCUCCCAUCAUUUUGGCGUGGCUCAGAUCAAGAGGAGAAUUUUAAGAAAGGUGAUGGUUGGGCACACACAAGAAGACAUAGAUCACAUGUGUCCAGGCAUAUGAGUAGACAGGAGUUUCACACUCUGCCAAACUUACUUCAUCAGAGGAGCAGAAAGCUUCUCAAGAUCCCGCACUGCACACUCAGAUAUAGUCUUUGACUACAACAAGGGGAUGAAAGUACAGAGAGGUCCAAUUGAAAUCAAUUCUGUGCUGCGUCAUUUCUUCAUUCUGGAAGUCGAUGGACAUGAUUUAUCAUGGCAUCAGGUGUGCAGUUUGUCGACUAUCAGCAGUCUUGUUCAUUAGUUGUGCAACUUGAGCUGGUAGCUUUAUUGCUUGAAGCCACAGCAUAAGAGGGGGAAGGUGCAGGCUCAUCAAAAAGUCUCAAAAGUUGAAACUAGGAAAAGAAGUUUGUCAAGAGUGUGAAUAUUUGCUUUGAAAACCAUCGUUACGAUGAUUUGGUUUCCUUUGAAACUUGAUACAUACUAUGUGUAUGUUGAAUGAAUUGAGAUGCUUAAAUAAAGAACCGCUAUUCAAAUAUCAGGAAACUGCAUUUUUCAUACUAAAGGGUAAAUGAUGUCGCCAUUUCCUGUAUGUAUUUAAAUGAGAUAUGUUUCCACAAUUAAUAUUUUUAGGGAAUUUUUCUCAUCCUAAUGAAUGAGAUUAAAUUGUACAGCGUUAUAUGAGCUUAAUAUGUGUUUUCUGUUUCUUUAAAAUUGGUGAAAAAUUGUCAGAAGAUAAUUAGACCAGUAUCCAUUACUGCAAUCAUACAAUCAAAUAUACAGGGCAUAUAAUAUAAUUAAA